CUUGAACGCUGGCGGCAGGCCUAACACAUGCACGUCGAGCGGAGCGGCGGACGGGUGAGUAAUGCCUAGGAAUCUGCCUGGUAGUGGGGGAUAAAGUCCGGAAACGGGCGCUAAUACCGCAUACUAUCAGAUGAGACUAGGUCGGAUUAGCUAGGUGGUGGGGUAAAGGCCUACCAGGGCGACGGUCCGUAAAUGGUCUGAGAGGAUGAUCAGGCACCCUGGAACUGAGACACGGUCCAGACUCCGACGGUAGGCAGCAGUGGGGAAGAUUGGACAAUGGUCGAAAGCCUGAUCCAGCCAUGCCGCGGGUGUGAAUAAGGUCUUCGGAUUGUAAAGCACUUGAAGUUGGGAGGCGUUACCAACAGAAUAAGCACCGGCUAACUUCGUGCCAGCAGCCGCGGUAAUAC
rnacentral:rRNA from 1 species